GAUUCACGCCUCCGCUAAACGUUUUAAAUUCUUACUGCACCAACUGAACCCACCUAUUCUCUAACAAACCGGACUAGAUCUGUGAUUUAGUUAAGAAUUCUGAACAACAGUGAUAACUAGCACUAUUAACAAUAACCAGCUUCCGUUGUUUGGUUAACUGUAGCCGACUGCUAGCGUUAGCUGAAAUAACUUUAGCAAUGAGAUACGGCUAACUAGCACGUCAGUUAGCACGAAGGCGGAGAAAAGCCACAUAUCAGCAACAACCAACGGACAACGUUGGCACAUAUUAACGCAAAUCUCAACGUGGACGUUCACCGACCGCUUCUGUGUCAUUAUCUUAACCCACCAUUAAAACAAAAGAUUCACAUCCACCCGAAGACACCGAGUAUGCACUUAGCCGAUAAUGCUAACAUGCUAGCUGUGAUGCUACUUACUCACCAACAUUCUGGUUCUUUAUGAGAUGAUGCAGAAAAAAGAAACCUCCAUGUGGCUUCCAGCCACCUACAGGGUGACCUGAUGAAGCCCUGCACAGGUGCUUCAGAGGAAAACAGACUCUAGGAAACAAUAUGGAGGCGCCCAUGGAGACAGACCACAGAAAACCCCAGAUACUGUCUUGGGGUUGCCGGGCAGUGAACAAAUUUGCACGAAACACCAGUCUAUAUUAUUGCAUGGUGAAUUAUGUAGUUAAGAGUCCCCUACAAUAUCUUAUUAAAUAUUCUUUAUUAAGAAAUGUUCACACAUCGAUGUCUAAUCUUGUUUUUAUUUAUUUCUGCAAAAAAAAAGUGAUGUCAUUGCUGGUAAACAUUAAAAUGAACCUUGUUUUACUAAUUAAACUAAAAUGAUCAACAACAAUGUGUAUUCUGACAGAGAAGGAAGGUAGGCAGCCUACCCCCUAACGGCUGAAAUAAUGUCAGUGAUUAUGUCUGUAAAAAGUCUUGACAUGACUUUGUUCUCAAAAUAAUGUUGUAUAAAUAAAGUUGAAUGGAACUGAA